rnacentral:rRNA from 1 species
UAGCCCUACGGGGGGCAGCAGUGGGGGAUAUUGGACAAUGGGGGAAACCCUGAUCCAGCGACGCCGCGUGAGUGAAGAAGUAUGUCGGUAUGUAAAGCUCUAUCAGCAGGGAAGAAAGAAAUGACGGUACCUGAGUAAGAAGCCCCGGCUAACUACGUGCCAGCAGCCGCGGUAAUACGUAGGGGGCAAGCGUUAUCCGGAUUUACUGGGUGUAAAGGGAGCGUAGACGGCAGCGCAAGUCUGGAGUGAAAUGCCGGGGCUCAACCCCGGAACUGCUUUGGAAACUGUGCAGCUAGAGUGCGGGG